UGGAUGAUGAAUCCUUCUUGGUCCGUGUACUGAUGUUUGAUGACCGUAUUUCUGACUG
rnacentral:snoRNA from 1 species